UGCUGCACACACAUACAGACGGCAUGUGUGCACAUUCGGAGCUCCCGGGUAGCCCGUAGUCCCACCGGCGCCGCUUCUCCGUCACCCACCCCUCUUCCCCCUUUUGUCCUUCUUCCUCCCAUCCAGGCUGCUUCCAGAACCUCUCGGUCCCCGGAAUCAAGGGGAGCCCACCCUAACUGCGUUCCUGCAGCACAACAAGAAAAGCUCCUUCCAAAUGGGGAGGACCAGGGUAGGGGGAUGGGGAGAGGGUGCGCGGUUCUCUUCUUGCCACUUCCUUGUAUGGACAGUGGGGGACUCCAAAGCCCGGCUCGGGAGAGGCCCGAAGCUUGGUACCCGGACGUGCAGGGGGAAGCACAAAGGGGCCGACAAGAAGGGGGUGGGGAGGCCUGCCGGUGCAAUGAAAUGGAGUGGGCUGAAGCCUCAGGGAGCGAAUCGAGGGCGGCUGGUAGGUGAAACUGCUGCAGACGUCCUCGGAAGCUAAGCUCAGUCCCCCAAAUUGCAAAGAGGGGAGGAAGAGACUGGGUUCCGACUUCCUCGCCCUGGCUCCCCCCCACCCCCCGGCCCCCAGUCCCUGGGACGGCAGCGUCCUCCCCACGGGCCGCGAGAGGGGAGCAACCCCUCAGCCCCGGCCCAGCGGCUGGCUGCACAGUGGAUCCCGGCUCCGGGGGUCAGGCCUCGGCGGGGGCCUAGGCCCACAGGCUAAAGCUGGCGCUGGCGACCGCUGGUCCGGCCGGGAAGGCUAGCGGGCGCUGCCAUCCCGGGCUUGGGGGACCGGAGGGGGGGGUGAGAGGUUAGGUGAGGUUGUGGUUCGUGAGGUGACUCUGGGGAGGAUGAUGGGGGGUGGUCCCCGGGCUCCGCCUCUCGCCGCCGCUGCCGUCUGCGUCCCGGCUGCCGCGCACUUGGCGCAAACUUACCGCGAGCGCCCGCAAAGCCACCCGCGCAGGCGCCCCGGGAUCGCCGCUCGCCGCGCGCAACCGCAGUGACAGCCGGCGGCCUGGCUCCCGCGCAGCCGCGGUGAUGGGGUACCCCCCGGCGCGCAGCCGCGCUGGCAUUCGCCCGGAGCCCAGAAGCCCCGCCUCUCCGCCGUGCGCCGGCGUACUGCGAUUGGAGGGCGGAACCUGAGGCCUCGCUUAGGCGCCUGGGAAAGCGCGUAGGGGUCACGGCGCAGCCGCAGGAACUGGAAGACGCAUCACCCAUUGGUGUUUGUGUGCGGACCACGGGCUCUGGUCCCGCGCAGGCGUGUUGGGUCGCCACCCUCCCGUCCCCUCACACAGCCGCCUCACGCGCAGGCGCGUUGUACCUGGAGGCCUGCACAAAAAAAAAAAAAAAAAAAAAAAGCUUCUCCUUUCGCCAUUUUGGUAAUGAGAUUUGGGGCUACCAUGCCCUUGGAGUCCUCAGUCACGACCAAGGAGGAGCGUGGGAUGCUGUAUGGAGCUGGUAGCUUUCGGCUGCAGCAGUACCCAUAUGGAUGGUGUAGUGGACUGUUUGUCUCCAGUGUCAGGUGUGUCUGGACUAGGCCGCCAUAUUGGUAAAGAGGGAAAAAAAAAGCAUUGCGACAAAAAAAAAAAAAAAAAAAGACGCUUUUGGUGGCAGAUCGGAUGACUGCUCUUUCCACUUCAUUUCCACUCUCAGCACCUAAUUUUAGCACGAGCAUUGCUGCCUUGGGUCCCGAUGGAACCCAAGAUAUUUCAAGCUGUUCUUACCCUCUCUUAACCACUGUCCCUGUGAACUACUCCGAAAGAGGAAGUCAAAAGCCCAAACAGUCCGUAAUCCUGACAACGCCCAGCUACCUGCCUACAGCUGACUUCAAUCCCCAUCUUGCAACGCGCAGAGUUCAAAGGGUGAACGGGACCGCUUUGCACUCUGGUAGUUAGACUCGCGAUGGAUCUGAUGGAUUGUGGGAGUUGUAGUUCAGCCUUCAGGCGCUGCACUGGACCAUAGGAUGUACACGAAGAAAAGCCUGCCGGGAAAGGAUACUUUUGAGAGCUGCCGUAUUGCACACUGGGGUUUGUAGUUUGAGCCCCUCACCUCGCAUUCUGAGCAGAGAGACAUACCUCUCUUUGGGUGUGCGCUGUUAUGCCCUUGUUAUCACUUUCCAAUAUGGACAGAUACUCUGCCUAAUUGCGAAUGAAUGAACCCCACUAGGCAUUAAUUAACACUGGUGACAUGCA